rnacentral:hammerhead_ribozyme from 1 species
AUCCAGCUGACCAGUCCCAAAUAGGACGAAAUGCGCAUCCUGGAU